rnacentral:pre_miRNA from 1 species
AAUAUACUCCCUCCGUCCGAAAAUACUUGUCAUCAAAAUGAAUAAAAGGGGAUGUAUCUAGAUGUAUUUUAGUUCUAGAUACAUCCCUUUUUGUUCAUUUUGAUGACAAGUAUUUUCGGACGGAGGGAGUAAGAC